UAGAACCUGUAGUGUCAUUAACAGUCAAUAAGAGAAUAUUUUCUUGCGACCAUAAAAAAUCUAUGCUUGAAUAAAAAAUCAUUUAUAUGUAUUUUUGAAGUUGAACAGCAUUUUGCCUUGUUAAAUAGAUAUUUGAAUCAACUACCCACAUUAACUAUGUAUAUAUGAUUUACUGUUUACACAUGAUGAGAACAACUAAUCAGUGGCUGUAGCAUCAGGAGAAGAAUCAAUAAAUUAACUUUAUUCCUUGGAAAAGAAGCAAAGGCAUUUGGAGUAUAACAUUCUGGUGUUUGAUAAAUACAUGUGUAUACAUUUCUAAUCAACAAACAUUUUCAAAUUCCACUUUGCAUUUAUUCAUCAAUCAACUAAGAAAAUAACCAUCCAAUGCUCAUUCUUGUAAAUAAGGUACUUGCAUGUGAAUUGAUAACUCUAAACUAAAAAAGGAUAUAUCCUAUAUCAUAGUCUGUUAUGACAAUCUACAUCAUAUUAAUUAGAUAUAAAUGUUGGAUAAUCCAAUCAUAGUUGAUGUCUAAAUCUAAUAGACUUUCGAACAUCUUUUAUGUUUUCAUAUGCUAUUCAAAGGUUGAGGAUGCUUGCAUGUUCUUCUAUUGUGUACUCUAUUGCGCACCUUCAACAUUUUGUUGAUUGCAACAUCUCCAUCCUAGAUCUUCUCUUCAUCUUCAUUGGCCUGCCUAGUUGCCUAUUAGAUACAGGUAAAAUAAUUUCAACACGACAUAUGAAAUUAUCUACUUUCCACUCUAUGUAAUCUCCAAGAGGGACGAUGUUCCCAGCAUAGGAACCCAAAUAACACUCUUCCAUGUGAUAUAUUGGACAAUAACUGUAUGCUUGCUCACAUCUUUCCCCAAUUAUAGAUAAAGCACGCAGACAUGGAAACUUCAUCCACCUAGAAACGGUCGCACAUGUAUGUCAUUAUCUUCAAAUAAACCAUGUGUUGUGUGUUUUCAUCUGAAACUUGGUACAGAAAAUCGUUUGAUGUAGAUACCUAAGAUAGAUGAGACCAAUAUUAGUAACCAUGUUGGUCGUUAUUCUAGUUCUAUAAUACAACUGAUGCAUACAAUGCUUAAUUAUCUGACACAUCAUACAAUUGUAUGUAUAUGCUCAUAAACGAAAUGUUCUCAUAAACUGAAGUUAUUCCACGUAUUUUAUAUGUAUUU
rnacentral:lncRNA from 1 species